UAGGGAAUCUUCGGCAAUGGGGGGAACCCUGACCGAGCAACGCCGCGUGAGUGAAGAAGGUUCUCGGAUCGUAAAGCUCUGUUGUUAAGGAAGAACGAGUGUGAGAAUGGAAAGUUCAUACUGUGACGGUACUUAACCAGAAAGGGACGGCUAACUACGUGCCAGCAGCCGCGGUAAUACGUAGGUCCCGAGCGUUGUCCGGAUUUAUUGGGCGUAAAGCGAGCGCAGGCGGUUAGAUAAGUCUGAAGUUAAAGGCAGGGGCUCAACCAUUGUAGGCUUUGGAAACUGUUUAACUUGAGUGCAGAAGGGGAGUGUGGAAUUCCAUGUGUAGCGGUGAAAUGCGUAGAUAUAUGGAGGAACACCGGUGGCGAAAGCGGCUCUCUGGUCUGUAACUGACGCUGAGGCUCGAAAGCGUGGGGAGCGAACAGG
rnacentral:rRNA from 1 species